rnacentral:rRNA from 1 species
GACGAACGCUGGCGGCGUGCUUAACACAUGCAAGUCGAACGGAAAGGCCCGGCUUUUGUGGGGUGCUCGAGUGGCGAACGGGUGAGUAACACGUGAGUAACCUGCCCUUGACUUUGGGAGAACUUCAGGAAACUGGGGCUAAUACCGGAUAGGAGCUCCUGCUGCAUGGGGGGGGUUGGAGAGAUUCGGCGGUGGGGGAUGGACACGCGGCUUAUCAGCUUGUUGGUGGGGUAGUGGCGUACCAAGGCAUUGACGGGUAGCCGGCCUGAGAGGGUGACCGGCCACAUUGGGACUGAGAUGCGGCCCAGACUCCUACGGGGGGCAGAAGUGGGGGAUAUUGCACGAUGGGCGGAAGCCUGAUGCAGCAACGCCGCGUGCGGGAUGCCGGCCUUCGGGUUGUAAACCGCUUUCGCCUGUGACGAAGCGUGAGUGACGGUAAUGGGUAAAGAAGCACCGGCUAACUACGUG